UCCAGCAGCCGCGGUAAUACGUUCCCGGGCCUUGUACACACCGCCCGUCACACCAUGGGAGUCAAUUGCUCCAGAAGUCACUGUGCUAACCGCAAGGAGGCAGGCGCCCAAGGAGUGAUUGGUAACUGGGGUGAAGUCGUAACAAGGUAGCCGUAGGGGAACCUGCGGCUGGAUCACCUCCUUUCUAAGGAGACCCGGAGUAGGGCAGCUCUUCGGAGCUGGACGCUACUCCACGGCGCUUCGGUGCCGCGAAGGUCGACUAGGUCAAUGUCCUGCAAUCAUUCGUAUCUCUCUUCUCUUUCGGGUUGCUAUUUGGUUUUGAAGGACCGGGCGCAUGCCCGCUCUUUGAGAUUUCGGAUGCUGUUUUUGGGUUCGUUCAUCCCGCGCCUGCCUGGGCCUAUAGCUCAGGUGGCUAGAGCGCGCGCCUGAUAAGCGCGAGGUCGAUGGUUCAAGUCCAUCUAGGCCCACUCCUUGUCAGGUGCUCGGUUGCCCCCGUAUGAUUGCGAGACUUGGCUGCGAAGGCAGUCAGAAGUUCGCCAGACGCCAAAGCUCUUUAACUUUGGGUCCUUUGGAUUUUUUAAGGGCUGUAGCUCAGCUGGGAAAGCGCCAGCUUUG
rnacentral:misc_RNA from 1 species